rnacentral:rRNA from 1 species
UGGGGAAUAUUGCACAAUGGGCGAAAGCCUGAUGCAGCAGCGCCGCGUGAGUGAUGAAGGUCUUCGGAUUGUAAAGCUCUGUCUUUUGGGACGAUAAUGACGGUACCAAAGGAGGAAGCCACGGCUAACUACGUGCCAGCAGCCGCGGUAAUACGUAGGUGGCGAGCGUUGUCCGGAUUUACUGGGCGUAAAGGGUGCGUAGGCGGAUGUUUAAGUGAGAUGUGAAAUACCCGGGCUUAACUUGGGUGCUGCAUUUCAAACUGGAUAUCUAGAGUGCAGGAGAGGAGAAUGGAAUUCCUAGUGUAGCGGUGAAAUGCGUAGAGAUUAGGAAGAACACCAGUGGCGAAGGCGAUUCUCUGGACUGUAACUGACGCUGAGGCACGAAAGCGUGGGUAGCAAACAGGAUUAGAUACCCUGGUAGUCCACGCCGUAAACGAUGAGUACUAGGUGUAGGAGGUAUCGACCCCUUCUGUGCCGCAGUAAACACAUUAAGUACUC